GGGGGUGUAGCUCAGUGGUAGAGCGCGUG
rnacentral:piRNA from 4 species